rnacentral:sRNA from 1 species
CCAGAAGGAAGCUGUUUGGCACAGCUCUACCUAACUGAAGAAUCAGCCAUGGUGAAGGGAAUUACUGGCUUUAUCUCAUCUUCUCCUUCCCAGCUCGAGAGCUAGCCUUGCAGCAGGAGGAAGGGAAGACUGUGAUGUACACAGCUGUGGGCUCUGAAUGGCGUCCCUUUGGCUAUCCACGCCGCCGGCGACCACUGAAUUCUGUAGUUCUACAACAGGGUCUGGCUGACCGAAUUGUCAGAGACGUCCAGGAAUUCAUCGAUAACCCCAAGUGGUACACUGACAGAGGCAUUCCUUACAGACGUGGCUACCUGCUUUAUGGGCCCCCUGGUUGCGGAAAGAGCAGUUUUAUCCCUGGCUGGGGAACUGGAGCACAGCAUCUGCCUGCUGAGCCUCACGGACUCCAGCCUCUCUGAUGACCGACUCAACCACCUGCUGAGCGUGGCCCCGCAGCAGAGCCUGGUGCUCCUGGAGGAUGUGGAUGCUGCUUUUCUCAGUCGAGACUUGGCUGUGGAGAACCCAGUAAAGUACCAAGGCCUAGGUCGCCUCACCUUCAGUGGACUGCUCAAUGCCUUGGAUGGUGUGGCUUCCACUGAGGCCCGCAUCGUGUUCAUGACCACCAACCACGUUGACAGGCUGGACCCCGCCCUGAUACGCCCGGGGCGAGUGGACCUGAAGGAGUACGUGGGCUACUGCUCACACUGGCAGCUGACCCAGAUGUUCCAAAGGUUCUAUCCAGGGCAGGCACCUUCCUUAGCUGAGGACUUUGCAGAACAUGUCCUUCGAGCUACAAACCAGAUCAGUCCUGCCCAGGUGCAGGGCUACUUCAUGCUGUAUAAAAAUGACCCUGUAGGGGCAAUUCACAAUGCUGAGUCUCUGAGGAGGUGAUCAGGCUGAGCUCAGCUCAGCUUUCCU